rnacentral:rRNA from 1 species
GAUGAACGCUAGCGGCAGGCCUAACACAUGCAAGUCGAGGGGUAGUUACUUUCGGGUAAUGAGACCGGCGCACGGGUGCGUAACGCGUAUGCAAUCUACCUUUUACAGGGGAAUAGCCCAGAGAAAUUUGGAUUAAUGCCCCAUAGUAUGUAUGAAUCGCAUGGUUUAUACAUUAAAGUUCCAACGGUAAAAGAUGAGCAUGCGUCCCAUUAGUUAGUUGGUAAGGUAACGGCUUACCAAGACGAUGAUGGGUAGGGGUCCUGAGAGGGGAGAUCCCCCCACACUGGUACUGAGACACGGACCAGACUCCUACGGGAGGCAGCAGUGAGGAAUAUUGGACAAUGGGCGCAAGCCUGAUCCAGCCAUGCCGCGUGCAGGAAGAAGCAUCUAUGGUGUGUAAACUGCUUUUGUACGGGAAGAAACACUCCUUCGUGAAGGAGCUUGACGGUACCGUAAGAAUAAGGAGUCGGCUAACUCCGUGCCAGCAGCCGCGGUAAAGUCUGUACU